rnacentral:rRNA from 1 species
CAGCAGCCGCGGUAAUACAGAGGGUGCAAGCGUUAAUCGGAAUUACUGGGCGUAAAGCGCGCGUAGGUGGUUUGUUAAGUUGGAUGUGAAAGCCCCGGGCUCAACCUGGGAACUGCAUCCAAAACUGGCAAGCUAGAGUAUGGUAGAGGGUGGUGGAAUUUCCUGUGUAGCGGUGAAAUGCGUAGAUAUAGGAAGGAACACCAGUGGCGAAGGCGACCACCUGGACUGAUACUGACACUGAGGUGCGAAAGCGUGGGGAGCAAACAGGAUUAGAUACCCGAGUAGUCCCUGUCUCUUAUAC